AGAGUUUGAUCCUGGCUCAGAGCGAACGCUGGCGGCAUGCUUAACACAUGCAAGUCGCACGGGCACUUCGGUGUCAGUGGCGGACGGGUGAGUAACGCGUAGGUAUCUAUCCUUGGGUGGGGGACAACUGUGGGAAACUACAGCUAAUACCGCAUGAUGACUGAGGUCCAAAGGCGCAAGUCGCCUGGGGAGGAGCCUGCGUACGAUUAGCUAGUUGGUGGGGUAAAGGCCUACCAAGGCGACGAUCGUUAGCUGGUCUGAGAGGAUGAUCAGCCACAUUGGGACUGAGACACGGCCCAAACUCCUACGGGAGGCAGCAGUGGGGAAUAUUGGACAAUGGGCGAAAGCCUGAUCCAGCAAUGCCGCGUGUGUGAAGAAGGUCUUCGGAUUGUAAA
rnacentral:rRNA from 1 species